rnacentral:lncRNA from 1 species
CCAUUAGCACAACAGCUUGUACAACGUACUUACAGCCCUAACAAAGUAGCUUGUUCACUGCCCUUACAAGUUUCCGUGUUUUUCGUUUCCGUUGCUGGAACUCCCGUUAACUCACAGAACUCCGUUAGGGCAACGUCUUGUUUUCCCUAGUUAAUUCCAUUGCUUGUUUAAUUGAAUCUAUUGAGCAUAUGAUAGAGAAUGUCAAAUAGUCAUCUAGCUCCGAAACUCUAAUAAGCUAGCUCAGUUAGCG